AAGCUCGCAUAAAUCACUACACGGCCAGCCUUUUUUUUUUCUUUUAAAAGGCAGCGGCACAUAGAGCUUAUAGUACACACCUUCUACCAUAGAGGCGUGCCUGGCGUUUCCCUGGCGCAGUAAAAAGAACAUAUCUGCUUCAUUCAGCGCUGAGAAGCAGAGACUGGCGAGAUCCGAAGAGGAAGUCGAGUUUCGCAAGGUACGCCUUGCUGGACGAAAAAUGCAGGAACCCACCAGCCCCAGCGAUGGCGAGCUGCGAGAGAUCCAGUAUCGCAAGCAUCUCUCAUUGAAUCACACGCUGAAGAUUGUCAUUCGCAAUAGCAUCUACGCCGCCAUUGGACGCGUUCUCAUGGGAGUUGUGAAAGCCUUAGUGAAGCAUGGUGUCUCCAGAGCGUUCUUAGUCCGCGUACCGUCUGAAUUCCUCUCGCUGGAUCCUUUGAAAUGGGCGGCCGUCUUCGGCGGCUUCUCGAGCUUCCGUUUCUGCCUGCAGACACUGCUUCGCAUCCUCACGCCAUUCGGAGUCUCGGAGAAGUUUGUGUCGCUGCUGGCGGGCUGCACUAGCGCCACGCCUGCGUUUGUCAUGAACAAGGAGACGCGCACGGAGCUGUGCCUGUACCUGUUCGUCCGCAGCGCCCACACCUUCUCGCUGCGCUACCUUCUGCCACGCAUGCCAAAGAUCCUUCAGGAGUUCCACCACUACGACGUGGUGCUCAUGUGUCUGAGCUCGUCUCAAAUCGCCUACGGCUGUCUCUUCAACCCCAACACGUUGCCGAAGUCGUACCAAGGCUUCCUGAACCGCGCCUCUACCUUUCCAGAGAAGCUCAUCCGCGGCCAUUCUGGGUUCUGCCGCCAGCGUCUUCUCCCCGAUCUUGUAGACUACUGCUGGUCGAGGAAGCUUCCCCUGAUCGAGAACUUCGGCCAAAGCGGCGCCAACACCCUUUGCAAGGUGGCACACGGCGAUUACUCGUGCAACCUGUGGGCGAUGAUCUUCAUCUUUAAGAACAUCCUUACCAUGGGCGUGCCGCUUUACGGCCCGCUUCGAUUUGUGUCGAUGCUGGCGUUCCAACGCAGGCGUCUCAUGACGAACCCAGUUUCCACGAUCAUGCAAAACGUGCGCUCGAUGCUGAUUAGCGCCCUGUUUCUCGCCUUGUACACUGCAAUCAUUCUGCGCUCCGCCUGCUUUGGUGUGCAACACCGGGGCGGAGGCACGAAGACGGUGACGGCGCUGAGUUCCAUAGCUGGGCUGGCAACGCUGCUCGAGCCGAAGGGACGUCGCAUGGAUCUCGCCCUGUACUGCUCCAUGCACGCGCUUCGCUCUUUUCUGCUUACACAGAACCUGCGUGGUCGUCUGCCCUACCCGCGCCACUGGUUCGUGUGCACCGUAUAUCUGCUCUCCGUCGGCUUUCUCUGUUACCAGUACGAGGAGGAACCGAAGCUGUUGGACCGCCGCGUUCGCACGGCGCUGCGCCUUCUGCUAGACGAGCAGUCACCCGCGGCGUUGACAGAGAAGGAGACGUCGCCGCUUGCGAGCGCCGCCGCGUCCACGUACGACGGUGCGGAAGCGCCUGCAGAGUCUCGCUGCGGGCAAAGUCAGGGGAAAGCGAGUGCAAGUCGCCAACACCGUGUCCUUUGCGUCGAUGCGCCAAGAGCUGUAGACUUGCCAGAGGAGACGAGGGUGACGGAAGGAAUGGGGCAGCAGCGGCGACACUACAGACGCAGCGUCGCAGCUUUUCCUGCAACGAAGUUCAAGGAACAGCAGUAGUGAGGGACGAAAAGAGGGGUGGGCUGAGGAAGGGGGGUGGGUGCAACGAAGAGGCAGAAAGCUUAUGUAUGUGCGCGCGCGCGAGUAGAGCUUCCUUUGAUGGGACUCAGGUGACUGUUAAUGUACUGGAGACCAGCGCGGACUUAUGAGAAAGCUGUACGGUCUCCUCUUGUUUACCGUUGCUCAUGAGGUUACCUCUUUCGCUGUUGGUGCUCUGCUCUUCUCCAGCGCGACGCAGUGACAACACCCACCCCCCCUGCCUCCACAUUGCGUCUUUCUGAUGUCUCCCUCUCCCAGCUGCCUUGUUGUGGUUGUCGUUGCCGUGAUGGUGUGCUCCUCUGGACUUCGAGGAGCCGUCGUGCAAGCAGGCAAAUGAGGAAAACUAACCAAGCAAGGGCUUACUCCUUUCUUUCACCUUUGCUCUCUGUGCUUCUUUGCCUUUUCAGGUGCUUGCACAUGGUUUCUCCUAGGGCAUGUGUGUGUGUGUGUGUGCAUGUCUGGCUGAUCCUUUAUUUAGGUCUCUCUGUUGCUCUAUCGCGCUGCUGCGUCUGCACUACCUUUUUCUUUUAUUAUUAUUUUUUUGCUUUUCUGUCUCAUUAUUUUCUCUCCUAAUAUGCAUAUGUGGGGGAGGGGGCGCGCGUUUGUGUGGUAUUCUCUCGACGUUUUUUACGCUUUUUUUCGGGGGGAGAGGGGAGGGGGAAGGAGGAGGUGAGGUUCUGCAUCUCUGGAUGGUUGACUCGGCUUGCUUCUCCAACACCCUCCCGCUGUUUCUUUCUUACUGCAACUGCAACCACUACUAUGGUCACAGCCACCCCCUCUUCUGUCAACUCCCUCCCCCGUACGUGCUUGUGCGUGUCCGUUCGUUCCGGUAACUGUCAACAUAUGUGCAUGCACUCGUACGCCUGUGUGAGUUUCCGUCUUCCUUUUUCCUCCAUGCUAGUAUGUAUUUGUCUCUUCUCGUCCUGUGUAGUGGGCGUGGGUUGCGUCCGUCUUCUCGUCCUCGCCGUCCUCUUUUUUUCUGCUUUGCGCGGCAUCGUUUUCGUCGGUGCGACUUUCCAGGUCGGCGUCGUACGCAUGUGAACACAUCGACCUCGGGGAGACGGUGCGAGCAUGUCUUUGUGCUCAGGGAUUGCGCAGAAUGGGAAGAGGGAGAGGGAGAGGGGAGAGAGGAACUGGAGGAUGCUGAUUUGGCCUGCAACCCCUCUUGCUGUCGAACCUUGUGCGGCCCCCCUCCACCGCCACC
rnacentral:misc_RNA from 1 species